rnacentral:precursor_RNA from 12 species
GCGCGCAGGCGCGGGCCGCGCUCUCCCGGCGGUUAGGGCGCGUCACGUGACGGGCUCGUCGCUCCGCCGUCACGUGACGGGCCUCGGCGGCCGGGGCUGCGCUCUCCGCGGCGUGCGCCCC